AUGCCUCCAUGCCUUCCAGCCAGGAGACCAAGCAGAGCACGGGGAAACUUCCUGCUGAGACUUCACUUAGACCAACUGAUAUCUUCUCCCUGCCUGGAGAAAACCUUUGUUCUCGACACUGAAGACAGGCACUUAAAAGUAAGCCUGUUUGGUCUGCCCCUAUUAACCAGCAGUGCUGACAGAGAAAAUCGCUUUUCCCCAGUGUUCAGCACUUGAGAACCACAGGAUUGAGAUUGUUUAUUCAGACUGCUUGAUUCUUUGGUAUCAUCCAGUGGGACAGGCUGAGUCACUACUUGAUUCUCAUUUCUCUUCACAUGAAGGUUUCAGCUCCCUUGGACUGCCAUGAAUCCCAAGCAAUGAUCCUGGUUUUGUCCUGACAGCCCCCCCCAGGUUUCCAUUGGACUUCCUGGUCUGGUGGUCAGAGAGACCCCUCCCCUGGGCUCUGAACUCCUCCUCUGCUGGGAUGAUGGGGGAAGGCAUCAGCACAAGCUGCCAGAUGGCACCACCUGGGAGAUUUUGUUUCUUUUUGUGCUGCCCUUCUCUCAACAGGGCAAGCUCUUGGGGCAGAUAAGGAUGUAUUAAGUGAUGGGAAGAUGUGCAAUUGUCUCCUAAAAGGUGUCAGUUCAGUAUUGCUGCAGAUGAGAGGCAACUCUUCUAUUUCUGUCCUUAGUCUGAAAUAAUUUUCAUUGGGAUUGCUGAAGGUCCUUCUCUGCUGAAUGGGACCUCUGUGUAAUGCUAAAAGGAAUAUUCUGUUUAAUGUUCUGUUUCCUAGCCCUUUGUCUUUCCUUCACCCAAGAUAACUGCCAGCAUGUUCAUGAGUUUUUCAUUUGAAUGAAAUUUUGCUCUAGCUGUGGGCAGAAUAUAGAAAGAAAUCAAUAGCUAUUAAGAUACGUGAUACUGCAGGAUAUGGGAUCCUACUGGUAGAAAAAGCAAGGCCCAUUUAUUUAUUCACAUACCCGAGUGCCUGCAUUCACAGUCUGACCUCACUGCCCAGGUCCUGCUCUUCCCCCAGGUUUUCAGUGGGGUUUUUUGUUGCCAAAUGCUGAGCAGAGGAUGUUUUGCCCAUUGCAUUCUGCUAUGUUCUGUGCUAGUUUCCUGUGAAAGUGCCUUCAGGUAUUUUCCCAGGGCUCACAUUUAUUUGUUCAAGAACAAGUUAAGAAAGAAGAGUGACUGGAGGUUUUAAAACCCAUUUUCUUUUUAUCUAGUGUUCUGUUAA
rnacentral:lncRNA from 1 species